rnacentral:tRNA from 1 species
GGGAGCGUAGCUUAGACGGGAAAGCGCCGUCCUUUUAAGUCGGAUGACGACAGUUCGAUUCUGUCCGCUCCCACCA